CAAGACUCUGUCUCAAAAAAAAAAAAAAAAAAAAAAAAUUUGUGGUGUAGUGGGAGUGCCAUAGCAUAUUUUGAUAUCUGUAUCUGUGUUCAUAAUAUAUAAUAUCAAAUAUCCCAAAACUGUUUGUCCUAACCUUUCAGCUUUGCAUUGGAGCCAAUCAUUACUUCUGUUGAAAAUACAUAUUUUAAUCUACAUAUUGUUAUAAAAUAUAUCCUCAAAAAACUCAUGAUGUAAAACCAUCAGAUCUCUCACUCAUUAUCAUGAGAACAGCAUGGAGGAAACCACCCCCAUGAUCCAGUUACUUCCACCUGGUCCUGCCCUGUACACAUGAGGAUUAUUACAAUUCAAG
rnacentral:lncRNA from 1 species